GAUGAAGAACGCAGCGAAAUGCGAUAAGUAGUGUGAAUUGCAGAAUUCAGUGAAUCAUCGAAUCUUUGAACGCAUAUUGCGCCCCAUGGUAUUCCGUGGGGCAUGCCUGUUCGAGCGUCAUUUACCCCCUCAAGCUCCGCUUGGUGUUGGGCGUCUGUCCCGCUUCGCGCGCGGACUCGCCCCAAAGGUAUUGGCAGCGGUCGUGCCAGCUUCUCGCGCAGCACAUUGCGCUUCUCGAGGCACCGGUGGGCCCGCGUCCAUCAAGCUCACCCCCCCAGUUUGACCUCGGAUCAGGUAGGGAUACCCGCUGAACUUAAGCACAUCAAUAAGCGGAGGA
rnacentral:misc_RNA from 1 species